GAAAUGCGAUAAGUAAUGUGAAUUGCAAAAUUCCGUGAAUCAUUAAAUCUUUGAACGCACCUUGCGCUCUUUGGCAAUCCAGAGAGCAUGUCUGUUUGAGAAUCAGUUUAAAUCUCACUACCGAUUGGUUUUUAGCUAAUUGGCUCAGUGGUUUUGGGUUCUUCACUAACCAUGAAAUUCCUUAAUUACAAGUUGCCUGGUGUACCUUUGAAACGUAACCGGAAAGCAUGACCAAUGGACUGGCUUUGGCCUUGUUCUUGAUUGCUGAUAAAGGCCGUUUGAUGAGCGUAUAUUCGUGGUAAUUCAUUUAAACACGAAGGUAGCAAUACCUUUAAGACUUGAUCUCAAAUCAGAUAAGACUACCCGCUGAACUUAA
rnacentral:misc_RNA from 1 species